rnacentral:lncRNA from 1 species
AUGUGGUGUGAUCACAAUAUUGGCAUGGCUCCUCUCAGACCAUUUUUCCUGAAUGAUGGCCAGUUUUUCAGUGCUUCAGCAUCCUCCAGGUCUCCUACCGGUACACCCCGGUCUUUUGGCUUCUGGGAGGGGUCACAGCUGCAGGAUAGUAGAGCCCAUCGCCAGCGUGGAGCUCCUGGUCAUGCACCCAGAUUUGUUGCAGUGAGGGGGAAAAAAAAUCCACAACAAACAGCAACGAGAAAAUCUGGUGCUAACUUCUACAUAUGUGACAGGCCCUGAGUUACCUCGAGGGGAUUCAGAGGAUGCAUGGACUAGAAAGUAAACGGAGGGGGAACACAGGGAACUUCAGCUGCAAUAAAAGUACCUCUGUAGGAUCCGA